rnacentral:rRNA from 1 species
GGUGAACGCUAGCGGCAGGCCUAACACAUGCAAGUCGAGGGGCAUCAUGGCGUAGCAAUACGCUGAUGGCGACCGGCGCACGGGUGCGUAACGCGUAUGGAACCUACCCACCGCAGGGGGAUAACCCGCCGAAAGGCGGACUAAUACCCCAUGGUUCCCCGACCCUGCCUGGGGUUGGGGGUAAAGCCUACGGGCGGCGGUGGAUGGCCCUGCGUGCCGUUAGCUGGCUGGUGGGGUAACGGCCCACCAGGGCGACGAUGGCUAGGGGGUCUGAGAGGACGAUCCCCCACACUGGUACUGAGACACGGACCAGACUCCUACGGGAGGCAGCAGUCGAGAAUAGUCUACAAUGGCCGGAAGGCUGAUAGUGCGACGCCGCGUGAACGAGGGAGCCCUUCGGGGUGUAAAGUUCUUUUCUAUACGAGCAGUGCUAUAUAUAUGGAUAGUAUAUAUAGAGGGAUAGUGGUAUAGGAAUAAGCAACGGCUAACUCCGUGCCAGCAGCCGCGGUAAA